rnacentral:rRNA from 1 species
CCCUUAGAUGUUCUGGGCGGCCCGCGCACUACAUUGGCACUAGCAAAGAGAUCCUAGAUUGAAUUCUUUGGGGUAUUCUUCUAAAUGGUGUCGUGACUGGGAUAAAUCCUUGUAAUUAUUGGUUUUGAACGAGGAAUUCCUUGUAAUCGCGGUUUAUCAGCUCGCGUUGAAUGCGUCCCUGCCCUUUGUACACACCGCCCGUCGCUCCUACCGAUGGAUCGUCCGGUGAAGCUCACGGAGUGACUGUUCACGCAACGGUUUACGAAGUGAAAUGGACCUCGCGAUUUAGAGGAAGGAGAAGUCGUAACA